rnacentral:rRNA from 1 species
UACAGGGGGUGCAAACGUUGCUCGGAAUUAUUGGGCGUAAAGCGCGUGUAGGCGGCUUUGCAAGUCGGGUGUGAAAGCCCUCGGCUUAACCGAGGAAGUGCGCCCGAAACUGCAGAGCUUGAGUACCGGAGAGGAUGGCGGAAUUCCCCAAGUAGAGGUGAAAUUCGUAGAUAUGGGGAGGAACACCGGUGGCGAAGGCGGCCAUCUGGACGGAUACUGACGCUGAGACGCGAAAGCGUGGGGAGCAAACAGG